rnacentral:rRNA from 1 species
UACGGAGAGUGCAAGCGUUGUUCGGAAUUAUUGGGCGUAAAGCGCAUGUAGGCGGCUUGACAAGUCUGGCGUGAAAGCCUGGGGCUCAACCUCAGAAGUGCGCUGGAAACUGUCGAGCUUGAGUACCGGAGGGGAAGGUGGAAUUCUCGAGUGUAGAGGUGAAAUUCGUAGAUAUCGGGAGGAACACCUAUGGCGAAGGCAGGUGCCUGGGCCUUUACUGACGCUGAGACUCGAAAGCUAGGGGAGCAAACAGG